rnacentral:misc_RNA from 1 species
AUGCGAUACGUAAUGUGAAUUGCAGAUUCUCGUGAAUCAUUGAAUUUUUGAACGCAUAUUGCGCCUUAUGGUAUUCCAUAGGGCAUGCCUGUCUGAGCGUCAGCUCCCCCCUAAUCAAGCAGUUUUGUUUGGAUUACUUUGGAAAAGCUGUUUUUUAUAUACAGCUUUCCAUAAAAGCAUAGGUAGUAUGGCUUUCCAAGGGAGGCAAUUGUCACCUUGGAGCUCUCGUACUUUUGCCACAAAACCCACUCAUUUUUUUUUUGGGUGACCUCAGAUCAGGUAGGGAUACCCGCUGAACUUAA